rnacentral:lncRNA from 1 species
UCAACUUCCUGCUUACAUCGGACACCACAUUAUCUUUAGACUAAUGAAUUGACAGAAGCAGAGCCAGCAAGGUGUAGGCUUUCUUUCAGUGUUGCUCUUCCUGGAGUUCCUACUAAUGGUAUCACAUUCAUGUACCAUGUAUUUAACAUGUUUGCUAUUACCCCAGAAACUGCACAGGUCUGUGUGCAUCCAGAAUUGUGCGUGGAAUCUGAACCAAUAAGAAGAGCGAUCUCAUUUCCACCAAUGGAACAAAUUCUGAGGAAAUCUUGGAGAUCUUCAGAGGUGCUGAUUCAAUUCUCCUCCCAAUUAAAUGUGUGCUGCCACAGAAACAACCAUACAGAAAAUGGAUUGCAGAAAAUAAUAUAAUUGAUCCUAGGCCCUAAAUACCAUUAAAAAAGAGAAAAGAAAACAUCCUGCAGUAAAUAGGUGUGAACAUAUAUCUAGCUCUUUGGGCCUAUAUCCAGUAUAUCUACAUGAAAUCUUCCCUAUCUGCCUCCGGAUUGCUGCCUGUGAUUCUGUGCUGCCAAUUACAGCAGGCUUGUAAAGUUUACUGUUUUCAUGUCAGGUUCCCCAACUGCACUUAUGUGGGGAAUCUGACACUGAAAUUCACAGGGUCUCUUGUGGCUGCCUUUGAGUAAUUGCAAGUAGUAGAGAGAAAAUAAUGGUCACUGGGUUGUUUCCCUUUACCAAGUUUUCUUUAUCUCAUCCAAAUAAUCUGAGUCACUGUGUUUUACUCUGUGAAAUUGUGUUGCUCAGCUCUUUUCAUGUCAACAAAUAGGAAGAGUAGCUUGACUAAGUAAUGGGGCCUUCAGGGAACUUUUGAAGAAAACAUGUUUGAUAUAAUAUUGCAGGAUACAAAAUACCAAUUUUAGAAGCAGAUAUAUUCUGAGUUCUAAUUGUACAUGGGAAUUUCAGGCAUAUACUUUCAAUAUUUUUGCUUCAGAAAAACUUACCACAGUCUCUUAUACUGUCCAUAAACUUUGCAGUUGACUCAGUGAUACCUUCUGUAUCACAGACAACUGCUCUCCUUCUAUUCAGUAUCAAAUAAAAUAUAAUCCUG